GUGCUCUCCUAGGUAGCACAUAUACUAAAAUUGGAAUGAUACAGAGAAGAUUAGCAUGGCACCUGCACAUGGAUGACACACAAAUUAAUGAAGCAUUCUAUAUUUUU